CUGUGUCAUUUUGUUUAACCAGCUCUGAGUUCCAUCAAAUGGUAAAAUUUCAUUCAAAAUGGUAAAAUCAUCAUUAAUGCAUUAGUGUAUCUUACCUACAUGGAUGUUCAUUGCUCAUGAACAGUAAGCUCCCAGUGUGUCUCAGGGGUUAACAUUUUCUCUGUCUGAUGUGCUCAGUUUCACUUCAUGCUUCAACAAUGCUCUUAUCACCCUGAUCUCAACUCUCUAUAAUACUGUCCAAUCCACACACAAUAAAAUGGUUCUUUAUUAGUGCCUUUUGCUGUUUGUGUCUCAUCUCAGUCUACAAAUCGUUGUGGAUGUGUGCUAUGUAGCAUCCCAGGGAAAGACGGCCUCAGAAGAUCAUGAAGAUAAAGGUUUUGGUUACAACUGAAUAAAAUACCAGACCAGAGUUAUGUGGAAGUCGCUGUAAGAGGGUCGGCAUCAUUAUUGAUCAAAUUUUGAACAUGAAAAUAUGACUUAUUGUUUAUCUACUGAAAUUUGAGCAGCUUCUGAUUAAUACCUUUUGUAUAGAUAAACAUGUGCAUGCACCAAAUUUAAAUUUACUUUUACAUUGUGUGUAUGAACAUUAUGUAUUGUAAAUGGACAUUUUUGACUAGUGGCAUUGAAGUUUUUUAAAAUUUUAAUGGGAAAUGCAUCAUUGAAUGUCUUCACAUAGAUGCAUGUAGCCUAGACACAGUACAUGUGUAAGGGUGUGAUAUGUGUUGUACCUCGGUCCUGGUUGCAGUAAAGACUGCCCUCAUGUGGUGUAGUUUAAAAACAGCAUCUGUAAAUACAAACCAAGGACCCACUACAAGGAAUUACAACUAAAGAACAUGCUUUGUAUCUGUGAAAAUGAGAUUGGUAAACACCAGUUAACGUAAGAAGAGAAUUUUUGUCAACUUGCCGUUAUAGCUGUGAAGAAAGUUAAGAAACUCACCUUUGGUACCUGUUAAAGAAAGUUACCUGUGUAAAGAGGUUAUGUUUAAUUGUUACUAUAGAAAACCAUGUUAUAUACUUACCCCAAGAGAAGUUUGAGUUGUCCCCUGCUGUCCUGAAAGCCUGUUCAUCUCUUAAGUUUCCUCCCCUGUUCACUAGCGAUGAUACCUUUUCUAAUCUAAAUCUCGUCACCUCUGAAUAUUUUCUGAUUGCCUCAUUUCAAUGUGCCAGAUUCUGCAGUCCUUUUAGGAAAAAGUGACACCAUUUGUUAUGCCUACAUUGUUAUUGUAAUAACUGAUUUCUGGUAUCAGAAGAGCCUUCCUUCCUGAGGGCCUAUUUCCUGUUUUCACAGAAGGAGUGGGGGGACACUGGUGAGGCUUCCUGAUAAAGACUUAACAAAGGACAGAGUCAAGGCCAAAGGAGAAAUCUCAGGUCCCUGCUGAGUUGCAGAUGGAUGUGCCAGUGCCGCUGUUCUUCGAUCCCACCCAGCUUUGCAGAGUCAUCCUUCAUCAUGAAGAAACCAGCCCUUCCCAGAUCACCUUCAAUGGAGGAGGACAAAAAGAAGAUCUGUGGAACAAGACAGAACGAUCCACAACACAGACACGAAGGACUGGACACCACGCUACAGAAGAUCCUGGAGGCACAACACAGAAACGGGGGGCUGGGGACCAUGCUAAAGACGAUCCUGGAGGCUGCUGCGUUUCUUCUGUUUUUCUUGGUUUUUGAAGAUCAUCUUACCUUC